CAGCCGCCGCGGUAAUACGAAGGGGGCUAGCGUUGUUCGGAAUUACUGGGCGUAAAGCGCACGUAGGCGGAUAUUUAAGUCAGGGGUGAAAUCCCGCAGCUCAACUGCGGAACUGCCUUUGAUACUGGGUAUCUUGAGUAUGGAAGAGGUAAGUGGAAAUGCGAGUGUAGAGGUGAAAUUCGUAGAUAUUCGCAGGAACACCAGUGGCGAAGGCGGCUUACUGGUCCAUAACUGACGCUGAGGUGCGAAAGCGUGGGGAGCAAACAGGAUUAGAUACCCGUGUAGUCCCUGUCUCUUAUAA
rnacentral:rRNA from 1 species